GGGGAGGUGGCUCAGUGUUUAAGAGCACUGGCUGCUCUUCCAGAGGACCUGAGUUCAAUUCCCAGCACCCACA
rfam:Mesocricetus auratus contig177372, whole genome shotgun sequence.